GAUUGACAAGAUGCCAUACCAUCUUUCGGGACUGACGGCAAUGGAGAACUACCCUUUUUAGUAUUACUGAUCACUC